ACAGAUGCCGACCGACUGCCAACGAUGAGGCCUGGUCCAAAGACGUCGGAUGGGCGGACGAGCAGGCGGACAGAUGUACAGACAGCAGCCAGGACGCUCGUGCUCAGACAGCUUUUGAUGCGUUUCGGCGAGCGGAGCUUUUCACCCCCAUUACUCAUCUGCCCCAUCGCAGCUUUUCCUCUCUCGAUUUUCACGUUUUUCCGAAGAGCAACAGUAACGCACAGUCGCUGGGCAGACAGGGCGCAUACGCAACAUUCGAGACGAACCAACACUCAGACCGAGUCGUCUCCCUCGCACUCACGCAUCUCGUAACAAAGGUGCUACAAUUGCGACCUCAGGGCUUCUUUCGGCGCUGUUUUGCCUUAUAAGUUUUCUUCGGUUAUCUUGCGAUAACAAAUUCAAAAAAAUAAACACAGGAAAACGCUAAAUUCUGGGAGCGGAUUGGCCAGAAGAUGGAGUUGGACAUUUGAUAUGCGAUUGGGUACUCCGCGCAGCAACGGCUAUAAAGUAGUGGAAUUUUUUGACAUAAUCGGAUGGCGAAUUAUCGAAUUUGUUAAUGCUCCAAUUCUGAUAAGCAAUUAAAAGGUUUAAGAUUUAUAAAGUAAGGUA